CCAUGUGGUUUGUUUUGGUUUAUCCUUUUGACUUUGUUUUCAUAAGAUGAUUGUCGCCGAUUAUGAUUAAUCUACAUCAUCCUGGUUAAUUUUAAUUAAAUUGCUCUUUGAUUAUAACCGACAAGAGGGAGAGAGAGAGAGAGAAGUGAUAAUUUUCUGUUACAUAAGGAAAGGGUGACCAAUAAUAAUAUUCUUUGGAUAAAAGUUUUUCUUCUAGAAUCUUCCUGUUCCUUUUUCCUGGAUUGAUGAUCCUUGGAUUAUGUUUAAACGGAUUGGAAAUUUGUAUGUUUGGCUUACUAAACCUUUAAUUUCCCGAUACGGUUUCUAUUCAUUGACGCCACUUUUUAUUGGAAUUGGUGCUACUUUUGAAUAUUUGUGUAUUCACAUGAAAAUCAAUGGUAUUUCAUAUUAUUCAGUAGAAAAGGAACGAUUUUUCAAGCAAGAAUAUCUUAAAUAUUUGAUUAUCCAUGAUCCGGACUAUAUUAAGGAUGCAAAAAUUUCGGGGAAAAUAUGAAAAGCCUAAACUUUCAGAUAUUUUGGAACCGCAGCCGCUCAAGGUCAGAAUCUACAGAGGAAUCAUAGGACUAGUAACAGCUAUCUUCGUGGUUUAUCAAUACGUACAAUUAGAAUACGAAAAAGUGUCGGUAGAUGAACUUUUCAAAGCGGGAAUGCACAGAUAUCACGAAGGUGUCUACGCUCGUGAUGAAUAUUUGGCCCAGUUAAUCAAGGACACAUCCGAAGACCGAUCCAAAGAUAAACAAGAAACAAAACAAUAGUCAACUUGGAAAGAAUCAAGUUUUACAAACAUAACUCUACGUGUUUAUUGAUAAUAAUACUUAAUUGUUGUUUAUUAUUAUUAUUAACAUGCUUUCUUUGUGAAAUCGUUUACAAUUAUGAUAAAAGGUUAUAAUUAAAUUGUAAUUAGUGGACAAUAAAUAUGAUAAUCAAUCAAUCAA